rnacentral:misc_RNA from 1 species
AGGGUGGCUGUGAAAAGAUUGAAGAGGUGCGGUAUUCAGAGGAAGAAAGAGUUCUACUCUGAGAUUGGAAGGGUUGCAAGACUUCAUCAUUCAAAUCUGGUAUCUAUCAAAGGAUGUUGCUAUCAUCAUGGUGACCGCUAUAUUCUGUACGAGUUCAUCAUCAAUGGACCCCUGGAUAGGUGGCUACACCAUAUUCCUAGAGGAGGUAGGAGUUUGGACUGGAGCAUGAGAAUGAAGGUCGCCACCACCCUUGCUCAAGGGAUUGCGUUUCUUCAUGACAAAAUGAAGCCACAAGUUGUGCAUAGGGAUAUCCGUGCAAGCAAUGUCCUUCUUGACGAAG